AGAUUUAUUUAUUAAAAACACACAGGUUUUCACUUCACACGAUGUUAACGGUUGGACUGGAGUCAUGUGGAUUAUUGUGACGUUUUUAUCGGUUGUUUGGA